rnacentral:misc_RNA from 1 species
CGCACAUUGCGCCCUUUGGUAUUCCUUAGGGCAUGCCUGUUCGAGCGUCAUCUAACCCCCUCAAGCACUGCUUGGUGUUGGGCGCCUUUGUCCCGCCUCGGGCGCGGACUCGCCUCAAAAACAUUGGCGGCCUGUGUAUUGGCUUCGAGCGCAGCAGACUCGCGCCUCGCAAACCUCUGGCAUGGGCGUCCAUCAAGAUGCACCCCAAAGUUUGACCUCGGAUCAGGUAGGGAUACCCGCUGAACUUAA